UACGGAGGGUGCAAGCGUUAUCCGGAUUCACUGGGUUUAAAGGGUGCGUAGGCGGGCAGGUGAGUCCGUGGUGAAAUCUCUGAGCUUAACUCAGAAACUGCCAUGGAUACUAUUUGUCUUGAAUAUUGUGGAGGUAAGCGGAAUAUGUCAUGUAGCGGUGAAAUGCUUAGAUAUGACAUAGAACACCAAUUGCGAAGGCAGCUUACUACACAGUUAUUGACGCUGAGGCACGAAAGCGUGGGGAUCAAACAGG
rnacentral:rRNA from 1 species